CGAGGGCUGAGGUGGGAGGUCGGGGGCGUCCCCGCGGGUUAAGCGUGCGAGAGAGCGAGGUGCACCAGCGGGCAUGGAUGGCCUGUGCAGAGUCCAGUCUUGUGAGGGCGGCGAACUAGGCAGCGAAUCGCGGGAGUUUCCUAUUGGCAGCAGUCCGAGUCCCAGACGUUAAUUUGUAACAAAAGUAGCGAUGGCCAAGCCCAUAAAGGGGGCAUCUCGGAAAGCCGUUCGCAUGCACGGAAGAGAUGAAAGCCCCGUGCGCGCUAGAAAACGGUUUCGCAACUCACUUCGGGAAGCAAAUGCGCUGCCCCCCAAAACAUAAAGUUGGCGAACUGUGCCUGACCCCGCUGGGGUUUUGGAAUGCCUCGUCCUCACAGGAAAAAAAUCCAGGGAAAUCAUCUUUUCCUUAAAAAGCAAAAGUGUCCAAAUUAUUUCUGUGACUGAAGUAGUUUGUCUGCGGUUGGCCAGUGACAUGGCAAGGCCUUGUUUGUGCAUUUAAGGAAUGCAUGCCUAUCCAGAAAAACACAAAACACACGCAUGUCAGGCCUCUGAGCCCAAGCCUGCACAUAUACAUCCAGAUGGCCUGAAGCAACUGAAGAAUCACAAAAGAAGUGAAAAUGCUGAAGCAACUGAAGAAUCACAAAAGAAGUGAAAAUGGCCGGUUCCUGCCUUAACUGAUAAGACAGUCACCUGUCCUCCUGCUCUUUGCUCUGUGAGAAAGAUCCACCUACAACCUCGGGUCCUCAGACCAACCAGCUCCAGGAACAUCUCACCAAUUUUAAAUUGGAUUCCCAGCCUUAUGAAGACACCCUAUCUGGACGAUCAGUUCUUGUUAAGAAUCUGACCCCUCAAACUCUACAACCUCGACGGACCGGACCCUACUUAGUCAUCUAUAAUACCCUAACUGCCGUCCUCCUGCAGGACCCUCCCCAUUGGGUUCACCGUUCCAGAAUAAAGCCGUGUCCAUUGGACAGCCAGCCUGAUCUCUCCUCUUCCUUCUGGAAGUCGCGAGUACUCACCCCUACUUCCCUUAAACUCACCCACAUUUCUGAAGAACAGUAGUAACCCUUAUGAGCCUAAUACAUCCCUUCAUUUUGUUAGGUCUAUCCUUCCUUACCAGAGUCUUUGCAACAGGGCCUUAUGCAGUCACCCCCACUACUUAGACUGCAUCCCAAAAACUUUUCAUCCCUGCUCUCUUCUGUCUAGUCAUACUCCUAUUCUUCGUUUUCACCUCUCCAUACAUGCCCUGCCCUUGUCUACACUGCCAGCUUAUACUUUUCCUCCAAACCAUCAUAGCUGGUCCUGGUCUUAUCCCCUAACUGCCACUCUUAACUCCCUCUUGGAAUGGAUAAAUGGCCUUUGCUGGAAAAGCACACUCCACUUCUUUCACCCAUUUUACAUUUCCAGUUUCGCCUUACGCAAGGUCUCUUCUUCCUCUGUGGCUCCUCCACCUGCAUGUGUCCACCUGUUAAUGAGACAGGAACAUGUACACUAGUUUUCCUUACCCCAAAAAUCAAUUUGCAAAUAAGACCGAGCAGCUUCCUGUUCCCCUCAUGACACCAACACUUCACUAUUAUUUUAUUUUUUCUUAUUAUUAAUAUAAGAAGACAGGAAUAGGCCUUGACUUACUCACUGCUGAAAAAGGAAGACUCUGUAUAUUUUUAAAUGAAGACUGUUGUUUUUACCUAAAUCAGUCUGGCCUGGUAUAUGACAACAUAAAAAAAUUCAAGGAUAGAGGCCAAAAACUCACCAGCCAAGCAAAUAAUCAUGCUGAACCCCCUUAGGCACUCUCUAAUUUGAAGUCCUGGGUCCUCCCAAUUCUUAGUCCUUUAAUACUUGUUUUUCUCCUUUUCUUAUUCGGACCUUAUGUCUUCUGUUUAGUUUCUCAGUUCAUACAAAACCAUAUCCAGGCCAUCACCAAUCAUCCUAUAUGACAAAUGCUCCUUCUAACAACCCCAGAAUAUCACCCCUUACCACAAAAUCUUCCUUCCUCUUAAUCUCUCCCACUCUAGGUUCCCAUGCCACCCCUAAUCCUGCUCGAAGCAGCCCUGAGAAACAUCACCCAUUAUCUCUCCAUACCACCCCCCAAAAUUUUCCCCACCCCAACACUUCACCACUGUUUGUUUUUCUUAUUAAUAUAAGAAGACAAGAAUGUCAGGACUCUGAGCCCAAGCCUGCACAUAUACAUCCAGAUGGCACGAAGCUACUGAAGAAUCACAAAAGAAGUGAAAAUGGUCGGUUCCUGCCUUAACUGAUGACAUUACCUUGUGAAAUUCCUUCUGGCUCAGAAGCUCCCCCACUGAGCACCUUGUGACCCCCGCCCCUGCCCUCAAGAGAACAACCCCCUUUGACUGUAAUUUUCCACUACCUACCCAAAUCCUAUAAAACUGCCCCAGCCCUAACUUCCUUUGCUGACUCUCUUUUUGGACUUAGCCCACCUGCAAUUAAAAAGCUUUAUUGCUCACACAAAGCCUGUUGGUGGUCCCUUCACACGGACACACGUGACAAUGCACACAC
rnacentral:lncRNA from 10 species